UACGUAGGCAGCAAGCGUUGUUCGGAGUUACUGGGCGUAAAGAGUGCGUAGGUGGUGCCCUAAGUCUGUUGUGAAAUCUCCCGGCUUAACUGGGAGGGUGCGUUGGAAACUGGGGUGCUUGAGUGUGGGAGAGGUAAGCGGAAUUCCUGGUGUAGCGGUGAAAUGCGUAGAUAUCAGGAGGAACACCAAUAGCGAAGGCAGCUCGCUGGGACGUUACUGACACUGAGGCGCGAAAGCGUGGGGAGCGAACAGG
rnacentral:rRNA from 1 species